CGGAGUUGGCGCGCGAGGGUGUGCAAGCCGAGAGGUGAUCCUGCCGACUGCACCGGGAACGCGUGCGGGACACUGUCCGCUGUCUACACCGCGUGCCCAGGUGCCUGUGAUGAAUGACACAUCGAUCAACAGAGUCUUGAUCCAGUCUCAUGUGAAGCCAAUGAGAGGUAUCAGCUGGUAUCCAAAUGAUGAUCUUAUGAAAAGAAUCCGAAGCAGGCUC